rnacentral:lncRNA from 1 species
CCAUUAUCUACCCAGUAGGACCUUGACCUCUUUAAGAACCAGGGAUGAGUUGACAGGAAAGGAAAGUGGAGUGUAAACCAGUGCUUCAAAACCAGCAGCUGCCACAAACUGUAGUGACCUUUCAGUGUCCCGCCGACUUCCACUCUCUUGCUUCCAGCAGGAGUUAGAAUCUAACAUUUCUUUACAAUGACCUCUCUAACUUCUUGGACUCAAGACACAGUUUACAGGACCUCAUUCGCACUCCAAUGACAAUGAAAGGAAGGGGGUGUUGGGCAGAGAAGCAAAGAGCUCCGGUUCUCACCAUCACAUGGUAGCGGGUGUAAGUUUGUUCCCAACAUACCAGACAGAGAGCAACUCUCACCAGAGAAGAUCCCAAUGUGUUUUAUGCUAGAUCUGACUUUAAUUAAGUGUAGACAAUGCUCCCAUCAGUGCUGGAACUGGCCCCGGUAACUUGCUUUAGCUGAUGGAAUGUUACCAAACACAACAUGAUCAAAGGCUUGAGAGAUGAUUUCCCUCCUGUGCUUCCGCAAUUACCAUGAAAAGAACAUGGCCUGGUGGUCCCUGAUCCCCAAAGAAUGACGGACACCUGGAAAAAGCUUGGAGUAACAGAUUCAUGAGCAAG